rnacentral:rRNA from 1 species
UACGUAGGGGGCAAGCGUUGUCCGGAAUUAUUGGGCGUAAGGCGCGUGUAGGCGGCCAGAUAAGUCCGCUGUGAAAUCUCGAGGCUCAACUUCGAGCUGUCGGUGGAAACCGUCUGGCUAGAGUCCGGAAGAGGAGAGUGGAAUUCCUGGUGUAGCGGUGAAAUGCGCAGAUAUCAGGAAGAACACCCGUGGCUAAGGCGGCUCUCUAGUACGGUACUGACGCUGAGACGCGAAAGCGUGGGGAGCGAACAGG